GUGCUCGCAUUGGCAGCACCUAUACUAAAAUUGGAAUGAUACAGAGAAGAUUAGCAUGGCCCUUGUUCAAGGAUGACGUACACAUUCAUGAAACGGUCCACAUUCUU
ensembl:snRNA U6 U6 spliceosomal RNA